rnacentral:rRNA from 1 species
AACGUAGGAGCCUAGCGUUAUCCGAAUUUACUGGGCGUAAAGCGCGUGCAGGCGGCUUCGUAAGUGGAUUGUGAAAUCUCCCGGCUCAACUGGGAGGGGACGGUCCAGACUGCGAGGCUGGAGGCAGGGAGAGGGAGGUGGAAUUCCCGGUGUAGUGGUGAAAUGCGUAGAGAUCGGGAGGAACACCAGUGGCGAAAGCGGCCUCCUGGCCCUGACCUGACGCUGAGACGCGAAAGCUAGGGGAGCGAACGGGAUUAGAAACCCCCGUAGUCC